UACAUCGGAACGUGUCCUGUAGUGGGGGAUAGCCCGGCGAAAGCCGGAUUAAUACCGCAUACGCUCUACGGAGGAAAGGGGGGGAUCUUAGGACCUCCCGCUACAGGGGCGGCCGAUGGCAGAUUAGCUAGUUGGUGGGGUAAAGGCCUACCAAGGCGACGAUCUGUAGCUGGUCUGAGAGGACGACCAGCCACACUGGGACUGAGACACGGCCCAGACUCCUACGGGAGGCAGCAGUGGGGAAUAUUGCACAAUGGGGGAAACCCUGAUGCAGCCAUGCCGCGUGUGUGAAGAAGGCCUUCGGGUUGUAAAGCACUUUCAGUGGGGAGGAAGGGAUGAUGCCUAAUACGCAUCAUCAUUGACGUUACCCACAGAAGAAGCACCGGCUAACUCCGUG
rnacentral:rRNA from 1 species